rnacentral:lncRNA from 1 species
UAAGAUUUAGACAAGAGGAAGACAUGCUUAGCUUUCAGUGGACAGGAACCUGCUAAGUUACUGAACUUUCAAUAAAGGAUAUAGCGGGUCUGAUUUUGCUUGGCCGUUUUUCAGAUUUUCUGUACUUUAAAGAUUUUGUGAAUCAUAGAAUGUCUUCUGUUUCCUGGAGGAGUUGCUGUGAACCUUCCAAAGAAGAUGAGAAACUGUUAGUUAGUUAUCUUUCCUCAGUAUCACAGGCUGAUAUUCUGACAAGACCAACCAACAGGGAACUUUAAGUGAAAACUAGCAGCUGGCUACCUGAAGAAAAUCCAUUUGCAAGUGUACCCAGAUGCCCAAGUCUCACUGACCCAGGAAAGAGGCUGCAGGUAGAAAAGAGCAUAGUAGGUAGCUGGAAUGCGGUGACGGCAAGUGGGAGCUUUCAUGAAGUAAUGUGAGGUGAACUUGAUGGAUGCUAUGGCCCUGAUCAUUUUUCUGUCCUUUCUCCCUUGAAGCCAGUUUCAGUCCUACCAGCAGGUUUAACCUUUCCUGAAGUCUAAGUCCAUUUCUGAUUUUCAGUAGGAAAUCCCUCGAAGUUGGCAUUUCUUGACUCAGCAGUACGUCUUUCCUGCUGAUUAGGUAGAAGUGACCUUUUAGUUCUGAUAACUGAGCUUCACUAUUUCAAUUUAGAUUCAUAUCCAG